GAUGAACGCUGGCGGCGUGCCUAAUACAUGCAAGUCGAGCGAACGGACGAGAAGCUUGCUUUUCUGAUGUUAGCGGCGGACGGGUGAGUAACACGUGGAUAACCUACCUAUAAGACUGGGAUAACUUCGGGAAACCGGAGCUAAUACCGGAUAAUAUUUUGAACCGCAUGGUUCAAAAGUGAAAGACGGUCUUGCUGUCACUUAUAGAUGGAUCCGCGCUGCAUUAGCUAGUUGGUAAGGUAACGGCUUACCAAGGCAACGAUGCAUAGCCGACCUGAGAGGGUGGUCGGCCACACGGGAGCUGAGACACGGUCCAGACUACUACGGGAGGCAGCAGUAGGGAAUCUGCCGCAAUGGGCGAAAGCCUGACGGAGCAACGCCGCGUGAGUGAUGAAGGUCUUCGGAUCGUAAAACUCUGUUAUUAGGGAAGAACAUAUGUGUAAGUAACUGUGCACAUCUUGACGGUACCUAAUCAGAAAGCCACGGCUAACUACGUG
rnacentral:rRNA from 1 species